rnacentral:rRNA from 1 species
AUGGUCACCCACGAGGAGGAGAAUUGCCCAGUAAAGAAGAAGCCUCAUUUCGCUGUUAGGUACUUUGGGAGUGCUGCUACAGGUCUUGGAUUUUAUCAUGUUGACAUGUCUGACAUAAACUUGCAGCACUCCGGGAGACUCAAGAAUGUUGGUAUUGUGUUCAUAGAGGAGGGAGAGAUCAGCAAAGAGGAGCUAGCAAGGGAGUUCUCUGAAAUCUACAAGACUAAUUGGCCAUGGCAGAUAAAUGCCCUUGACAAUUGGACGAUGCUGGUAAAAUUCCCACCUUACAUACCAGUGGAAUCAGUAGCUGGCACUACAAAAAGAAGACAUCCAUGA